AUAAUAAUAGUAACGUGUAACUAAUUACAGCGAAACGAAUUUACAGCCGCGCCAACUUAUCUAACAUGCAUCUCUAUAUUCGGAGCGUUGAGGGAAAUGGUAUAAAAGCCGAAAUAGAUCGGCGAGAAAUCGUCAGGCGUAUAUUUCGCGGUUCGCUAAAAGCAUAUUGUCAGAAUCGCAUUUGCAAUCGGUGCCGGAUACUUUGUCAAAAUGAUUAAGUUGAUUACUAUUCUUCUGCUCGCCGUCGCGCUUUUCGCUUCCUCGUCGAUGGCUCAGAAUGGCGGCAAUAACGGUGGAAACGGUGGUGGAGGUUUGGGAAAUGGAGGUGGCCAAGGAGGAGGAGGAGGAGGUCAACCAGGAGGUGGAAUCGGUGGACUUGGAGGUCAAGGAAAUGGAGACGGCGGAAUCCUGGGAAGCAGCGGAUUUUCAGGACUGUCGGGGUUACUGGGAGGAUUCGGCAGGAGAUAAACGUGCGAUUACGAUCAUGAUCCUGGCUCUUCUCAAUCGAAAAUGGCGAUUCGUAAAUGAUAUGGAUAACGCAUGAAUCUGGACACGUCUUAAGAUUAGUGACUAGCUAUUUUUCUGCAGUAAUUAUAAUGCACACUGUCUUGUAAAGUCGAAAAUCUCGCAAUGUUUGAAAUUAAAAUAAAAAGGUGAAUAUUAUAAAUAAAAACGGACUACAAGUAUCUGUACCAUAUUCGAUACUUUUUAUAAAUCUCAAUACGAAAUA
rnacentral:lncRNA from 1 species